rnacentral:rRNA from 1 species
CCUACGGGAGGCAGCAGUGAGGAAUAUUGGUCAAUGGGCGCGAGCCUGAACCAGCCAAGCCGCGUGAAGGAUGACUGUUCUACGGGUUGUAAACCUCUUUUAUAAAGGAAUAAAGUGAGGCACGUGUGCCUUUUUGUAUGUACUUUAUGAAUAAGGAUCGGCUAACUCCGUGCCAGCAGCCGCGGUAAUACGGAGGAUCCGAGCGUUAUCCGGAUUUAUUGGGUUUAAAGGGAGCGUAGAUGGGUUGUUAAGUCAGGUGUGAAAGGUUGCGGCUCAACCGUAAAAUUGCAAUUGAUACUGGCAGUCUUGAGUACAGGUGAGGUAGGCGGAAUGCGUGGUGUAGCGGUGAAAUGCUUAGAUAUCACGAAGAACUCCGAUUGCGAAGGCAGCUUACUAAACUGCCACUGACAUUGAUGCUCGAAAGUGUGGGUAUCAAACAGGAUUAGAUACCCGAGUAGUC